GAUGAUAUACAUUGAAUCAAACCAAUGAAUUGUAUCACCUUAAUCUUAAUCACAUUAUAUAUAUACCCACUCACCUUGAGUUUUCUUAACCUCAUUUUCUCUCAAGCUAGCUGCAUACUACACUCCAAUCCUUUUUCUUCUAAUUUGCUUACCAACAAGUCACUUUAAAGUCUCUUUGUCUAGUGGAAUUUGACGCGUACCUUACCUUCCGAUGUGAACUAGGCUCACAUUAAUAAAGCAUAUCGUCCCUUCAAUUUGGACCAGGGUCUCACCGUUCCUUUCGAGAGAAUAACCUUGUAUUGAGUUUCGACAAGAUGAUCGCUGAGACUAUAUCCGGGUGUCGCAAAAAACCGGAAGAGGAAUUGCUCAAUUUCCAACCGAUAACUCCUUCGUCGGCAACGCAAUUCGUGAUGAUGUAGAAAGACAAAGGCGGUGGUUGCAGAGGAAGAUGUGACGGAGAUGGUGUGGUGAACGACGUCUGAUGUAGAUAUAGGGGUUCGACCUUCCAGUGAUCAUGGAUCUCUCGGUGGCGGAGGGGGUCGGCAGGAAUGGAGGUGUAGGGAUGGACGGUCUGGGUGAAGAGAAAUAAAGAGCGAAAACAUGUUGGAUUUCGUGCCUAGCAAAAUUGUCAUCUAAGAUCUAAGAACGUGGGUAUGGUGGGGCUUGGGUUGAGGCUUGGAUUAGGCAUUUGGUGACACGUGUAAAGGGAGCCCCCACCGCCUGGUUACGUGUUCGCGGGGUAUGACAGGGCGUGGGUUGGGGUUGGGCUUGGGUUGGGUGCACCGGUGGCAUAAAUUAAAAAAAAAAUUUACAAAAAAUUUAAAAAAAAUCACACAACAUUUAUAAAAAAAACCUACAACUUCAUUAAAAUUUAAAAUUACAUAAUCCUA
rnacentral:lncRNA from 1 species